rnacentral:rRNA from 1 species
CCUACGGGAGGCAGCAGUGGGGAAUUUUGGACAAUGGGCGCAAGCCUGAUCCAGCAAUGCCGCGUGAGUGAAGAAGGCCUUCGGUUGUAAAGCUCUUUUGUCAGGGAAGAAACGGUAGAGGCUGAUAUCCUUUGCUAAUGACGGUACCUGAAGAAUAAGCACCGGCUAACUACGUGCCAGCAGCCGCGGUAAUACGUAGGGUGCAAGCGUUAAUCGGAAUUACUGGGCGUAAAGCGUGCGCAGGCGGUUUUGUAAGUCUGUCGUGAAAGCCCCGGGCUCAACCUGGGAAUUGCGAUGGAGACUGCAAGGCUUGAAUCUGGCAGAGGGGGGUAGGAUUCCACGUGUAGCAGUGAAAUGCGUAGAGAUGUGGAGGAACACCGAUGGCGAAGGCAGCCCCCUGGGUCAAGAUUGACGCUCAUGCACGAAAGCGUGGGGAGCAAACAGGAUUAGAUACCCUGGUAGUCCACGCCCUAAACGAUGUCUACUAGUUGUCGGGUUUUAAUUAACUUGGUAACGCAGCUAACGCGUGAAGUAGACCGCCUGGGGAGUACGGUCACAAGAUUAAAACUCAAAGGAAUUGACGG